AUGAUGAAGAGAUUUUUGAGGGGCUCUUCUAGCCAAAGCUCCAAGGAUAAACAAGCUAAGGAGAAAGAAAAGGCCAAGUAUAAUCUUCCUCGCGUAGCGGAAGUACGGCCGUGUGAGUGGCCUUGUGAUAAUUUCUUGAGAGCAGCCGGGAUUUAUGAAGAUUUUUAUUCUUUGGCUGAUAAUGCAGGCCUCACCGACUUCCUCCAAGACCGGAUCAGACAGUAUCUCUUACUCACCAAUACUUUCAUGCAAAACUUCUGCUAUUAUCCUAAGAAUUCACCUCCUUCACCAGCUUUUCAUUUAUAUGAUGAGGCUAAGGAGAUGUCAUUACGCAAUUUUUGCGUGGUUUGCAGAAUACCCUUCGAGGGCAUUUUAGAUGAACCACAUCGUAAAGAUGUGGAUGGUUUUAUUGAUACUAUUACUGUAGGGAAAUCGAGGAAGGUUUCCGAUGCAAGAAUAACUAGCAUACAUUUUCUUGUUUUACGCUAUUUUGCCAUAUUUGCUAGUCGAUGCUUAAUUGGUCGCGAAAACUAUGGAAACCUUAGUGUUCCUAAUAUUAUUAUUUUGUUCCAUGCUUUAUUCCGUGAUAACUCUUUUAGUAUGGGUGUUGUUAUUGCUAAACGAUUAAGCCUGAACCGUACAAAGGGCCCCAUCUUUGGAGGUAUCUAUGUUGCACGCCUUGCUAAACAUUUCGAGAUACCUAUUAGGCAUUAUGAGAAAGAGGAGACACUGCUGCCUCCUACCUUUUUAGAUUACAGGAGCAUGCUAGUGCAUGAGUUUAUUGUUGACAAUGAUGAUAAGAUGCUUCUGCAUAACCUGAGAUUUAAUAAGAAACACAAUGAGAUUAUUAUCCUACCCGCACCUUCUUUGUUUGAUUUAACUGCAGGCCAUUACCUCGUCUUGCCGUCGGCCGUGUACGCGCACCGAGGCCAGACAUCAGCUCCAGAGCCUGAGCCGGAACCACCACUUGAUCCUUAUCGUCCAUCAACUUAUCAGUGGGACCUGGAGCAUAUUGCCAACUAG
rnacentral:rRNA from 1 species